UGUAGAGAAUCUGCCCUGUACUGGGGGACAACAGAGGGAAACUUCUGCUAAUACCCCAUAUGAGCGUACCUGCGAUGGUAUUCUUGAAAGUUCGGCGGUACAGGAUGAGUCUGCAUCUGAUUAGCUAGUUGGUGGUGUAAUGGACUACCAAGGCGACGAUCAGUAGCUGGUUUGAGAGGAUGAUCAGCCACAAUGGGACUGAGACACGGCCCAUACUCCUACGGGAGGCAGCAG
rnacentral:rRNA from 1 species